rnacentral:ribozyme from 1 species
AGUUUGAGGCAGAAGCCCGUAGCACAAGCACCCAUGGUGCUGCCUGUCAGAUUCUGAUGAAUCUGCAAAUUCUGCU